rnacentral:rRNA from 1 species
AUUGAACGCUGGCGGCAGGCUUAACACAUGCAAGUCGAGCGGGGGAAGGUAGCUUGCUACCGGACCUAGCGGCGGACGGGUGAGUAAUGCUUAGGAAUCUGCCUAUUAGUGGGGGACAACAUCUCGAAAGGGAUGCUAAUACCGCAUACGUCCUACGGGAGAAAGCAGGGGAUCUUCGGACCUUGCGCUAAUAGAUGAGCCUAAGUCGGAUUAGCUAGUUGGUGGGUUAAAGGCCUACCAAGGCGACGAUCUGUAGCGGGUCUGAGAGGAUGAUCCGCCACACUGGGACUGAGACACGGCCCAGACUCCUACGGGAGGCAGCAGUGGGGAAUAUUGGACAAUGGGGGGAACCCUGAUCCAGCCAUGUCGCGUGUGUGAAGAAGGCCUUAUGGUUGUAAAGCACUUUAAGCGAGGAGGAGGCUACUCUAGUUAAUACCUAGGGACAGUGGACGUUACUCGCAGAAUAAGCACCGGCUAACUCUGUGCCAGCCGCCGCCGUAA